GUUGAACAUCCCUGAGAGUCACGUGUAGCAUUGACCCCAUGAAUGUCUACAUCCCUCAUGGUUCCUGUGGGACCAGGGUUCCACGACAUCUAAAAGGGCUGCCUCUGUCAACAGGACAGACAUGCACACAGGUCUCAGGCUUCCCUCAUCUUUGAUCUCUUCAUCACCUCCAAACUGCUUUCUGACUGUCUUUUAGAAGAACUGCAACAACUGUAAAUCCACUGGGAGAUGGGAGAAUGGAGAUAAGGGGAGGAAGAGGGGAAAGGAGGUGGAGAGGAUGAAGAGGAAAUGAGAGGACCUGUGGAGAGGGUCAGAAUGUGUCCAGAGGAGAUUACCUGAAAUGAGUCAGGAGAAAAGGAUGUUGUCCUGGGUAGGGUUCUUGAGGAAGCGAGACCAGGUACAAAUGUCUCAAGCAGAGCAGAGUGAGACUCUCGUUUCAACUCUGGCAUUCUAUUGUCAGCUAUGAGGAGGGAAGGUCCUGUUCUGAUCACUCUGAGCAUAAGUCAAGGUAGAGAACUAUGAGGCUGCUUUGGAUAGGGAUUCCCAUUCUGGGCUUCUGAUGAAGGGUACAUUAGAGAGAAGGGUGGCUUCAUCAUUCAGUGGGGUCCUAUUCUGGUCUUAUCACAAGGCCUUUGGCAGUUCUGAUGACAUCUGUGUCUUUGUCCUUAGAGGCUCCUUUAUCCAGGCUUCCCAUGUUGCCUCCCACCUCCUGAUUCAGAAUCUUGCAUCAUUUACCCAUGUCAUGGAGAGAUUUGUACCUGAUAUUAAUAUUGUUCUGCUCCAGCAUGGGUAGUUAAGUAGGCAUUGCCAGGCCUGAUGCUGAGUAUUGCCUCUUCAAGGCCAGCAUCCAUGUGACUGCUUCAUGACCAAUGCCCACCGUUUGGGUCAGGCUUACAAGUAAACCUUGAUCAUCACCAGGAGCUCUAAUGACAGCCUCUGGUGCAGAGUGAAGCAAUGGUCAGUGUAGGAUCUGAACUGGAUUCCAGGACACCUUACAGGUAGGAAGCAACUCACUGAUUUAACAAGAGGAAAUGAACUCAACAGGGACUCCAGGAUACUAAUCUGUGUGAAUCAUGCACCUGAAGGUAAGACUGAGUACAGUAAGUAUCUGUUUCUGGUAGAAGAUGAGUCUCUGAAGCCUGGUCUUGAUGUGGUGAAAUCCCAUGAAGUGCCCUGUGCCAGCAGCUCUGACACAGAGGGAAAGUUUUCAUUUACUUGCUCAACUGAAGAGCAAUGGGAGACUGAGAGACUGCAGAGGUGUGAAAAGGGAGGAACCAGCUUCUCUGCUGUAGUCAGCCUCCAGCUCCACUCUGAUCAUCUGACCCUGGGCUGUUAGCAAACACUGAUGAAUAUUAAAGGCUUUGUCCAGAUCUUCCCAGCAGGAUGAUGGCCAGCUUGUGCUGUCACUUACUUCUACAUCCCUGACUAGAUCUGUGUUCUGACUAGGCUGGAAAUCUGUGUCCUGUGUGAUGAUAUGUUAGGGCUACAGGUUCCAGUAUCCCAUGUGCACACAAGAAGACCCAGUCCGCUUGAUUAGAGAGAGAGAGAAUUUUUUCAGUUUGUGGGUAUCACCUGGUGUCAGACUAUAUUUCUGUGGCCUAUCAGUGAAGGUAGGUUUUAAGACAUGGUUGAGGAGUCUGUUGAAUUCUAGAAAUGAGAUAUGGAAAUUUCCUGAAUACUCAUUUGAUAGUUUACUUUUUUUGAGAUUGGUUUUCACUCUAUAACCCUGGCUAUCCAGAGAAACUCUGUAUAGAACAUGCAGCUCUCAAACUCACAGUGAUUGACCCCUUUCUCUGCCUCCUGAGAGCAGCAUUUAAAGAUAUGGACUCCCAUGGCUGGCUUCAAGUACUGGACAGCAUCAAAUGUAAAUUCCUCCAAACAUUUGAAGCAGAAGAAGACAAUUCUGUGCUUCUUUCAUCCUGACAGGGUCAGGGAUUGAACUGAAGGUUCUGUCAUCCAGGAUGGACUACAAACAGCAGCAAAGUCCAAAUAUAACCUUCAGGAUAGAAGUCUAUGUCCACCAGUGAACAGAUACCUGCAGGUGAGAACUGCUGCCAUGAAUUCUUCUGGGGACCCUGGUCAGUGUGCUGGAGCAAGUAUGCCCUAGCUGAAACAUCCUUGGAAACAAGGCACAGAGCAUGCAAAGGCUACUUUCUAACCUUUUCUCAGGAUCCCCACCUGCAGUCCAGAUAUCCCAUGACUUCAACCUGACCAAUCAGGAGAGUUCAGAUUGGCUACCUGGUCUGAUGGAUUGAGUUCUUUCCAUUUGAGCCAUGAGAUCACAGCUGAGGACUCAAGGUGAUGAGCUCUAUACAUCAGGAGACACAGGGUGGCCAUUUGAGGUGUGGUCUGUGACAACAGAAGUAGGAGCUCUGCAGGAAGUCCAGAUGGCAGUGUGCCCACUUCCCCAGCAUACAGGGUCUCUGUCCAGCACAGGAGGAGGAAAGUGACAGCAAGCUGUAAGAAAAUGGGUACCACUUAGGAUGGAAUGCUGGGACUUUGCUCCAGUUCGGAACCCAUAGCUGGUCUGUUUGUCAAUGAACGACCACUAAGGCAAGCUUCACCCUGAUGCGAUUGGAUACUGUGCCAGGCAUUGAAUCUCUCAGGAGACAGCCCAUGUGGACCAAGACUCCAAGCCCUGGUGAUGAUGGUCUCUAAGAAUGUGACUCUCAGGAAGCAGAGCUGAUGCCCAAGAGC